rnacentral:rRNA from 1 species
CCUACGGGCGGCAGCAGUAGGGAAUCUUCGGCAAUGGACGAAAGUCUGACCGAGCAACGCCGCGUGAGUGAAGAAGGUUUUCGGAUCGUAAAACUCUGUUGGUAGAGAAGAACGUUGGUGAGAGUGGAAAGCUCAUCAAGUGACGGUAACUACCCAGAAAGGGACUGCUAACUACGUUCCAGCAGCAGUGGUAAUACGUAGGUCCCGAGCGUUGUCUGGAUUUAUUGGGCGUAAAGCGAUCCCAGGUGGUUUAUUAAGUCUGGUGGAAAAGGCAGUGGCUAAACCAUUGUAUGCAUUGGAAACUGGUAGACUUGAGUGCAGGAGAGGAGAGUGGGAUGCCAUGGGUAGCGGUGAAAUGCGUAGAUAUAUGGAGGAACACCGGUGGCGAAAGCGGCUCUCUGGACUGUAACUGACACUGAGGCUCGAAAGCGUGGGGAGCAAACAGGAUUAGAUACCCGGGUAGUC